GGGCGCAUAGCUCAGUUGGUAGAGCACAGAGCUUAUACCUCUGCGGUCCUAGGUUCGAAUCCUAGUGCGCCCA
rfam:Parcubacteria bacterium GW2011_GWB1_43_8 TW04_C0018, whole genome shotgun sequence.